rnacentral:lncRNA from 1 species
UAGAGUUAAUCAUUUCUAUUUUUACCUGUAUGUAUAGAUGGCAUAUAGGAGCUGUGUUGUUGCAAACAGAAUGAACAGUAAUCUGACCAGACUUAUUAUCCAUGCCUGUUGUUCAAUGUCAUUUGAUACAUAUUUAGGUACGGCAAAUUCAAACAGAAAUGCAGCACAUAACCCUGCAGCAAAAAUAAAAAAUAAAAAUAAAAAUAAAUUCAAUGUUUCAAAAUAAAAAAAUUCUGAAUUUUAGGAAAUCAAAGGUGAUAAUGUACCUAUAUAGAGCCUAGGCCUCACAGGGUACGUUUGCUUUGUACUUGUGAACAUAUAGAUAAUAAAGAUUGAUAUGGAGUAGACAAUGAAAGCUUUGAUCCAUCGCGACUCCAGUAGAAUGGCAUUGUGCAGGGCAAAGAGCUUGUCUAUGGCUAGAAACAUGGUUGAUUGCUUUGAUUCAAAAUCAUCCUACAAAUAUAUAUACAGACAUUCGAAAGAGGUACAUAGAGUAAGUAACUGCUAACUUCUGAGCAUAUAUAAUGUCCCCGAAAGCUGCACUAACCUGAGAAGCUAAUAUUGUCUUUGAAUUUUGUAUCAGAUGACCAUGAGUUUGUUCAAGUUGUUGUUGCCGUCUAAGAAGCUCUUCUUGUUGCUUAUGACCAAUUUCAGCCAACUCUUCCAGGGUGCCCCUGUAAAAAAGAUAAAAUCAAAAUCGAUUUUGCCUUUUUUAGUUAUGAUUUGUGUCAUAACUUUGUUUAUACCUGCUUUCUUUAAGUGAUUGGG